rnacentral:rRNA from 1 species
UUCCGGUUGAUCCCGCCGGACCCCACUGCUAUCGGGAUGGGACUAAGACAUGCUAGUCGUGCGCUUCCAAGCCACGGUGGAGGCGCGGCGCACAGCUCAGUAGCACGUGGCUAACCUACCCUUGGGACGGAAACAACCCCGGGAAACUGGGGCUAAUUUCCGAUAGGUGAAGACUCCUGGAAUGGAUCUUCGCCCAAAAGGCGUUUAGACCAUGCUUCUAAGCGCUGCCCAAGGAUGGGGCCGCGGCCGAUCAGGUUGUUGGUGAGGUAACGGCUCACCAAGCCUUUAACCGGUUCGGGCCGUGAGAGCGGGAGCCCGGAGAUGGGCACUGAGACAAGGGCCCAGGCCCUACGGGGCGCAGCAGUCGCGAAAACUUCGCAAUACGCGGGAGCGUGACGGGGCCAUCCCGAGUGCCGUCCGCUGAGGAUGGCUUUUCCCCAGUGUAGAUAGCUGGGGGAAUAAGGAGAGGGCAAGUCUGGUGUCAGCCGCCGCGGUAAUACCAGCUCUCCGAGUGGUGGGGAUGUUUAUUGGGCUUAAAGCAUCCGUAGCUGGCUGGGCAAGUCCCCUGUUAAAUCUAACAAUUCAAUCGUUGGAUUGCGGGGGAUACUGCUCGGCUAGGGGGCGGGAGAGGCCGACGGUAUUCCCGGGGUAGGGGUGAAAUCCUAUAAUCCCGGGAGGACCACCAGUGGCGAAGGCUGUCGGCUAGAACGCGCCCGACGGUGAGGGAUGAAAGCUGGGGGAGCGAACCGGAUUAGAUACCCGGGUAGUCCCAGCUGUAAACGAUGCAGGCUAAG